rnacentral:rRNA from 1 species
AUUGAACGCUGGCGGCAGGCCUAACACAUGCAAGUCGAGCGGGGUUUUCGGACCUAGCGGCGGACGGGUGAGUAAUGCGUAGGAAGCUGCCCGAUAGAGGGGGAUACCAGUUGGAAACGACUGUUAAUACCGCAUAAUGUCUACGGACCAAAGUGUGGGACCUUCGGGCCACAUGCUAUCGGAUGCGCCUACGUGGAUUA